AUUGAACGCUGGCGGCAGGCCUAACACAUGCAAGUCGAGCGCGCGGCGCACGGGUGAGUGAUGUAUGUGGAACUGCCCGAUAUAGCGGGAUAACUACUGUAGACGGUGGCUCUAAUCGCAUACUCCCUCAUGUAUCCACAUGGGAUUAGCUAGUGGGUGAGGUAAUGGCUUACCCAGUCGACGAUCCCUAGAUGGUCUGAGAGGAGGAUCAGCCACACUGGGACUGAGACACGGCCCAGACUCCUACGGGAGGCAGCAGUGGGGAAUAUUGCACAAUGGGCGCAAGCCUGAUGCAGCCAUGCCGCGUGUAUGAAGAAGGCCCUAGGGUGGUAAAGUACUUUCAGUCGGGAGGCGUUACCGACAGAAGAAGCACCGGCUAACUCCGUGCCAGCAGCCGCGGUAAUAC
rnacentral:rRNA from 1 species